rnacentral:rRNA from 1 species
ACGCUCGACACCUACGAGGCAGCAGUGGGGAAUAUUGCACAAUGGGGGAAACCCUGAUGCAGCGACGCCGCGUGGAGGAAGAAGGUCUUCGGAUUGUAAACUCCUGUUGUUGGGGAAAAAGAGGAUGGUACCCAACAAGGAAGUGACGGCUAACUACGUGCCAGCAGCCGCGGUAAUCUGAGCGGGCUGGCAAGGC